rnacentral:rRNA from 1 species
UACGGAGGGUGCGAGCGUUAAUCGGAAUAACUGGGCGUAAAGCGCACGCAGGCGGGUUGUUAAGUCAGAUGUGAAAUCCCCGGGCUUAACCUGGGAACUGCAUUUGAGACUGGCAAGCUAGAGUCUUGUAGAGGGGGGUAGAAUUCCAGGUGUAGCGGUGAAAUGCGUAGAGAUCUGGAGGAAUACCGAUGGCGAAGGCGGCCCCCUGGACGAAGACUGACGCUCAGGUGCGAAAGCGUGGGGAGCAAACAGG